GGGGGCUACUAUGUACUGGGACUGCACUUAAAAGAGGUUGGCAGAAAGGCAUUGCUGUAGCUGCAGCUUCACAGAACUGCCCUUCUACUGCUUUUCUGUCUUGGCUCACUGAUGGGCCAUCAGCACAUUGUCAUGCAUCACAACAGAACAGUCAGAGGUUUUAUAACAUACCUCAUCAUUUGUUAACUUCAGGAAGAUGUCACCUAGAAUUCCUUGGCGUGGCCAGCUCAGCACUCGCUCCUGGAGAGCAUGAAGUAAAUCAACAUGCUGCUGGACCAGCCCUUCAGUUAUCCACCAGAAGUUACUGCUGGUUGUGUUGCCAUGACACUUGGAGGAGAUUGCAGUCUGUUUGCCAUCAAUUCAAAUUUUAUUCCCUGUGUCAGGCUGGCUGGCCUCCACCUCCCAGAAACACCAUCCCACCCAGCUCCUCUUCUGCAUUGCCUCCUUUUGACAAUGUAAAUUCCCAAGGUCACACUUCUGCAGCCCCCCCUACCCCAGCACAACAGCAGGAGCUAUGCAGUCAGCCUCACAGCAGUGAUUCAGAGUGA
rnacentral:lncRNA from 1 species